rnacentral:rRNA from 1 species
CCUACGGGUGGCAGCAGUGGGGAAUAUUGGUCAAUGGGCGCAAGCCUGACCCAGCAACGCCGCGUGAAGGAAGAAGGCCCUCGGGUUGUAAACCUCUUUUUUCAAGGACGAAACAAAUGACGGUACUUGAUGAAUAAGCCACGGCUAACUAGGUGCCAGCAGCCGCGGUAAUACGUAGGGGGCAAGCUUUAUCCGGAUUUAAUGGGUGUAAGGGGCGUGUAGGCGGGACUGCAAGUCAGAUGUGAAAACCAUGGGCUCAACCCAUGGCCUGCAUUUGAAACUGUAGUUCUUGAGUGUUGAGAAGGCAGGCGGAAUUCGGUGUGUAGCGGUGAAAUGCGUAGAUAUGCGGAGGAACACCGGUGGCGAAGGCAGCCUGCUGGACAAUAACUGACGCUGAGGCGCGAAAGCGUGGGGAGCGAACAGGAUUAGAUACCCUAGUAGUC